rnacentral:rRNA from 1 species
AGAGUUUGAUCAUGGCUCAGAUUGAACGCUGGCGGCAGGCCUAACACAUGCAAGUCGAACGGUAACAGGAAUCAGCUUGCUGAUUCGCUGACGAGUGGCGGACGGGUGAGUAAUGUCUGGGAAACUGCCUGAUGGAGGGGGAUAACUACUGGAAACGGUAGCUAAUACCGCAUAAUGUCGCAAGACCAAAGAGGGGGACCUUCGGGCCUCUUGCCAUCGGAUGUGCCCAGAUGGGAUUAGCUUGUUGGUGGGGUAACGGCUCACCAAGGCGACGAUCCCUAGCUGGUCUGAGAGGAUGACCAGCCACACUGGAACUGAGACACGGUCCAGACUCCUACGGGAGGCAGCAGUGGGGAAUAUUGCACAAUGGGCGCAAGCCUGAUGCAGCCAUGCCGCGUGUAUGAAGAAGGCCUUCGGGUUGUAAAGUACUUUCAGCGGGAGGAAGGGAGUAAAGUUAAUACCUUUGCUCAUUGACGUUAUCCGCAGAAGAAGCACCGGCUAACUCCGUGCCAGCAGCCGCGGUAAUACGGAGGGUGCAAGCGUUAAUCGGAAUUACUGGGCGUAAAGCGCACGCAGGCGGUUUGUUAAGUCAGAUGUGAAAUCCCCGGGCUCAACCUGGGAACUGCAUCUGAUACUGGCAAGCUUGAGUCUCGUAGAGGGGGGUAGAAUUCCAGGUGUAGCGGUGAAAUGCGUAGAGAUCUGGAGGAAUACCGGUGGCGAAGGCGGCCCCCUGGACGAAGACUGACGCUCAGGUGCGAAAGCGUGGGGAGCAAACAGGAUUAGAUACCCUGGUAGUCCACGCCGUAAACGAUGUCGACUUGGAGGUUGUGCCCUUGAGGCGUGGCUUCCGGAGCUAACGCGUUAAGUCGACCGCCUGGGGAGUACGGCCGCAAGGUUAAAACUCAAAUGAAUUGACGGGGGCCCGCACAAGCGGUGGAGCAUGUGGUUUAAUUCGAUGCAACGCGAAGAACCUUACCUGGUCUUGACAUCCACGGAAGUUUUCAGAGAUGAGAAUGUGCCUUCGGGAACCGUGAGACAGGUGCUGCAUGGCUGUCGUCAGCUCGUGUUGUGAAAUGUUGGGUUAAGUCCCGCAACGAGCGCAACCCUUAUCCUUUGUUGCCAGCGGUCCGGCCGGGAACUCAAAGGAGACUGCCAGUGAUAAACUGGAGGAAGGUGGGGAUGACGUCAAGUCAUCAUGGCCCUUACGACCAGGGCUACACACGUGCUACAAUGGCGCAUACAAAGAGAAGCGACCUCGCGAGAGCAAGCGGACCUCAUAAAGUGCGUCGUAGUCCGGAUUGGAGUCUGCAACUCGACUCCAUGAAGUCGGAAUCGCUAGUAAUCGUGGAUCAGAAUGCCACGGUGAAUACGUUCCCGGGCCUUGUACACACCGCCCGUCACACCAUGGGAGUGGGUUGCAAAAGAAGUAGGUAGCUUAACCUUCGGGAGGGCGCUUACCACUUUGUGAUUCAUGACUGGGGUGAAGUCGUAACAAGGUAACCGUAGGGGAACCUGCGGUUG